GAAGUGAACCAGACGAUCGCUGCUGUGUAUAGGUCUUCGUGACUAAAGCAGGGGAGGAAAGUCCGGGCUUCAUAGGGCAAGGUGCCAGGUAACGCCUGGGCGGCGUGAGCCGACGGAAAGUGCAGCAGAGAGUAGACCGCCUUCAUUAUGGUUUUGAGCAAUCAAAAUCGGAGGUAAGGGUGAAAGGGUGCGGUAAGAGCGCACCGCAUGACUGGUAACAGUUCAUGGCAUGGUAAACCCCACCGGAAGCAAGACCAAAUAGGGAUCCUUUAGGCAUGGCCCAUGCUGGAUCCGGGUAGGUCGCUUGAGCGUAUGAGUGAUUGUACGCCUAGAGGAAUGAUCGUCCUCGACAGAACCCGGCUUAUCGGUUCACUUCAACA
rnacentral:RNase_P_RNA from 1 species